rnacentral:rRNA from 1 species
AUGAAAAGCACUUUGAAAAGAGAGUGAAAAGAACCUGAAACCAUUCUGUGGGAAGCGUAUUGCAUCACAAUGAGAGACGUUUGCAUGUUCAACCUUUCGGGGUGCAUUCAUGUAGAGGUCUAUCUGUCGUGGGCUUGUGGGCAGUCGAUUUUUAUUUUGGGCUGCCUCAGGCUGAGGGCUCCGCGAAAGCGUUGAGGACGGCAGAGGGACGAUGCGAUUCGACCCGUCUUGAAACACGGACCAAGGAGUCUAGCACAUCUGCGAGUCAAAGGGUGUUUAAACCCCAGGGCGCAGUGAAAGCAAAUUUGUUCCAUAAAACGAGCAGUUUGAGGCGGCAUACGAUCGUUGAUUGUAAGUCUGACCUAGAGCAAAUGUGCUGGGACCCGAAAGAUGGUGAACUAUGCCGGAGUAGGGCGAAGCCAGAGGAAACUCUGGUGGAGGCUCGUAGCGGUGCUGACGUGCAAAUCGCUCGUCCAACUCGGGUAUAGGGGCGAAAGACUAAUCGAACCAUCUAGUAGCUGGUUCCCUCCGAAGUUUCUCUCAGGAUAGCGGGCAGACUUGACGUUGUUUUGUGC